ACCCUAGCAACCGAGUGUCGAGUUUUGCCACUGCAGGCACCAUUCACAUUUUCUUCAGGAAAUGUACAUUCUAGUUCUUCUUCUGAUUCUUCUUCUGGACAAAACUUUGGCGCGUAACUCGUCCCGCACCGUUUGUCAUAGACCCAUAAAUGAGACAUCGAAUUGUGCGGUUUUUUGUGGACACCAGUGCUAUGACUUUUAUAAGCGAUCGGGUGUACGAUAUUCGCCGGCGGGCGAAAAAGUAGCCGAAAAAGUCCCAUAGACUUUGCAUUGCGACAAACUUUGACGAGUCAUAGCUCCUAACGAGAAUUUUGUAGAAACAUGUUGGUUGGGGGCCAAGAUGGCGUCGUCAUAGGAGGGCAUGUAAGUGUGGGCUGCUAAGGUGAUGUGGUGAAACAACUUAUUUGUUACCACUAUUCUCAUUUAAUUUGCACGGACAACUUAUCUACAGCACAUAUAUCUGUGAAUUAUAUGGGUAAAUCUAAAAGAAAAACGAAAGGAAUGCAAAAUCUUAACGUAACUUCAAACUGAGUUUCUGACACAAACAAAAGUGAACGCUCAGAACUCAGCAGCACUAACCUCAAAACCAUGGACGUCACGAGGAGCGAGGGUGAAGCAAUAGAGGUGUAUGAUUCAACGCCAAUUUUUGAUGAGGGGGCUCUUGGUACUCCCUUUCCUGAAACUCCUGUGAAACCGUUGGCCAAAAAAACAAACGUCAGGAAGAAAGAUGGCCAGAAGGAAGCGAUGGAAAUGCGAGUAUACUAUCUGCAAUACGAGAACUCUCUGUAAAACAUGAUGAAACUUUCAGCGAAGCAAUGAAAUGCCUUGAUGGUGAGAUAAAAACUUUGAAAGAGGAAAAAAAAAUCCCUUAGAGCCGGUCUGUAUGAGUGCAGACGUUAUAGCUGGAGGUGGUUGCUCAAGUUGCACGGGGUCAAAGAAAGAGCAGGGGAGGAUGUCAGGAGUGUGGUAAUUGACAUCUUCGGGAAAAUGGCACCAGAUAUUCGAGACAGCUUAAAUGACUGCGUGGAUAUAGCUCAUCGACUGGUUCCGGCAAGGGAUGACGGAAAGGCAAGAGCUAUCAUUGUCCUGUUCUCCUUCCGCCGGGUGCGAGAAGGCAUCUGGCGGGCCGCAAGAAGAUGCAAGUACCUGGAAGACAACGGCCUGCAUCUUACAGAACCACUAUCUCCAGAAGACAGGACAGCGAGGGAGAAACUCUGGCCUCUAGUUAAAGCAGCUAGGGAUGCUGGUAAGAAGGCUUCCUUCCGCCCCUCGUUCACGUUGAUUGAUGGAAAGAAACACUUCUUCUCGGAUGUAAAGUAGUGUUGACUUUGUUCGUUGUUGACUCUUUGAUUAAUAAGCAAUGCAAUAGUUUUAUAGUUACAUAACGUUGACUUAACAUUGACCACUUAUUAGGUUACCUGUUUAGUUGUUUACUUUUUUUUUAUAUUUAUUUAUUCACUUUUAUUUAUUUACCUCUAUUUUUUAUUUAUUAAUACUAUUUUUGUUAUUCUUUCCUUUUCUUUUAUUUAAGCUUUUUAUUUUCUUCUUCUUAUAAUUAUUAUUGAUAAAGUGAACUCAGAUGUGUGCAUUUUUUCUUGGCACUUUAUUUCUUUGUUUGUUAAAAGGGUACAUCGUGCUGUAUUUGCACAGUGUUUAAGUUGUUCUACAAGUUGUUAGCCACCUCUCCCUUGUUGUUUGAAUUAAGUAUUUCUUAAAUUCUUGGGGGUUUUCUCAUCUGUUGUGAAUUUUAAGAACAUUUUUCCUUUCAGUUUCCAGGUUGUUCAUGUUUAUUUGUUUUAAUGGAUUAUACGUUUAGGUCUUUGUCUGUUCUGUCUCUAAAUGUCAAGGGAUUACAUGAUGUGGUUAAAAGGAAAGCAAUUUUUUUACUUUGUAAGAGAAGCGAUGCAGAUUUUAUUUUUCUACAAGAAACUCACUCUGAAGAUGCAGAUGUAAAAUUUUGGAAGACACAAUGGGGAAAUACGAUUUUUGCUAGUCAUAGCAGUACUCAUUCUGCAGGGGUCAUGACUCUCAUACAUAAAUUUAAAGGGGAUAUUCUAAAAGUGAUGGAAUCAAAAGAUGGCAGGUGGAUUACAAUGGUUAUUAGGCAAGACAACACUCUUUAUAUUUUAUGCAACAUCUAUGGGUUUAAUUCUCACUCCUCUAAUAAGAUUCUUUUUUCUCAAAUCUCUGCUAAAGUCAAAGAACUACUUACUGAAUAUAAAGGUUAUUAUGUUAUUUUAGGUGGUGACUAUGAUGAGUGUGCACUCAAAAAAAUGAAUCAUGGCAUAGUUUAAAAUUAUGUAUUUACAUCCUUCACUCAAUCGUGUUUUGAAUGAUUCAGUGUUUUGAACAAAUCGUUUGAGUCAAAGAUUCAAUGACCCAUUCACAAACAUCUGUCUCAUUCUUGAUGAAUCGGCCGUUUGAACAAAUCGUGAAUGAACGACUCAAUGACUCGCUUAAUAAAACCGCUUAUCACCUGCAUUUGCGCUCACUAUCGACAAACCAAUCAAAUUUGUUCAAAACUUUUUUUUUAAAUCAGUCCAAACACAUUUUAAUUUUAUUCAGGAGUUAUGUACAUACAAAACUAUAAUUUUUUAUGACAGUAGUUUAGUGAUAAAAAAAAUUAGCAAAUUGUUUUUUUUUUUUCCUCCCAUCCUGUAGCCUAAGUUUGAAACAAAUGAGUGUGAACAAGUUUAUUUUUAGUUUGAAGUAUUCUUUUAAUAGUUUAAAAUCAAUGUAUUAUGUUAAUAAUUAAUAGUAGCAGCAGAUGUAUUUACAGUACAGUAACAAUUUAGUAGUUACAGUAAAAAAAAGCCUAAAAAAUAUUUUUGUCUAAUAUUUUGCAAUAACUGAUAUUUUGUCUUUUGUCUUCACAGACAUGUGAAAUUGGCCUUUUAAAUUGUGACAUUUCAUUAUCUACAUGUACUGCAGGUUACCUUAAGGUAACCUGCAGUACAUGUAGAUGUACCUGAAUGUAGUUGCAGUAAAACAAGUAUAAAUUAUUUUUAACUAACUGAUAUUUUUCUUUUGUUUUUGUUUACAGAUAUGUGAAUGUGGCCUUGUAAAGUGUGUGACACUUCAUUAUCUUCCCAGUACGAGUUGCUGAAACAUUUUAGGCUGAAACAUUUCCAUUACGGUCGCAACUGCAGGUAUCCUUGUCCAUAUGCAGAUUGCCCCUGCACAUUCACAAGGUGGAAGACCCUUCUGAGCCACACAUAUCAAACACACAGGAAGUCAACAACAACACACACUCAGUUAACUACAUUCUUUUGUCAGGCAUUUGGAUGUAAGGAACUGUCAACUGAGAAGGAAUACUUUGCUCAUGUAAAUCAUCACCUUAAGCAGUAUGAAACCAUAACUUGCAUGUUUGAAAGAUGUAUGUUUGAGACAAACGUAUAUGGUACGUUUAACUCGCAUAAAAAUCGUAAACAUAAUCCCCACACUCUAAAUGAUUUUAAGGCUGGUGUUGUGAAACUCGCUGUUCAGUCUGAUGAAUCUGGUACUCCUGUAGAUGAUAGCCUCUCAUCUUCUGCGGACAUAGAUUUUGUUACUCUGACAGAUGCAGAUAGUGAGAAAGAUACUUCAGAGAACCUUCCAAAAAUAGUAGAACAAAAAAUAGCUUCAAUUCUACUUAAGUUAGAAAGCAUAUUUUAUGUUCCCUCUACGACCAUUGAUGAACUACUUGAAGAAUUACACUUCAUCUUAAGUACUGUGUCUGUGCCUGUAAGUUACAGCAGUCUUUCUGAUUUUUUUUUAAAAACAAAGACCUAGAAGUUGAUAGUUUAAUUCUUAAGGAACUAUCUGAUGUACUCUGUAAAUCCAAUCCUUUGGUAAAAGCAAUAGGGAAAGAUGGUCCACUUGCUACAGAUUAUAAACGAAAGCAGUACUUUAAGGAACUGUUAAAUAUUGUUGAGCCUGUGGAGUUUAUUUUGGACCAAGAAAAGAGCAGGACUUUUCAGUAUAUACCAUUACUGCAGUCUUUGCAGCAGCUACUUGAUUGUACUGCAGUGUUAAAAAGUGUCAUCAGUAGCCACAGAACACAGGAAAAUCUUCUUGAUAACCAGCAGUAUCGCUCUAUUAGAGAUGGUGUGUACUUCAAGGACAACACUUUCCUGUCAGGUGAUGAGUUGCGAAUUUGUUUAACUUUAUACAUAGAUGAUUUUGAGCUAUGUAACCCCCUGGGUGCGUCUUGAAAAAAAAACACAAAUUGUGUGGUGUUUACUGGAUUCUAAAUAACUUACCGCCAGGCUCUCAUUCAACACUCUCUUCAAUUUUUUUUGAGUGUUUUGUGCAAGAGUGACGAUGUAAAGGUAUAUGGCUACAGACAAAUAUUAGAGCCACUUCUACAAGACCUUUGUAAUUUGGAAGAGCAUGGUGUGUUCAUCUCACAACUUGGCAAGUUUGUCAAAGGAACAGUCCAUUGUGUUGUAGCGGAUAAUUUGGGAGCCCACGGAUUGGCUGGUUUUGUGGAGAGCUUCUCCGGACAGUAUGUUUGUCGAUUUUGUACCGCUCAGAAAAUAGAAAUUCAGGUGAAGGACGUUCAGUCAGGUGAUUUUUUUUUUUUUUUUUUUUUUUUGCUGCGAACAAAAGAACUGCAUGAAGCACAUGUAAAGUCUGCAAACGAAACUGACACAAGUUGCUUUGGAGUAAAAAGAGCUUGUGUUUUGACAGAAAAUCUUCACCACUUUCAUGUUUGCACAGGCUACCCCCCAGACACAGUCCACGAUUUAUUUGAGGGUAUUGUCCCUCAUGAACUGGCACUGUGUUUGAGUGUUCUCAUCUCUAAGAAGUACUUAAUUCUUGAAUAUCUUUAUCACGCAAAUCCUCAAAUUUCCUUACAAGUGGCAUGACAGAAAAAAUCGACCUCACAUCAUACCAAACAGCUAUUCAUGCAAGAAGACAAUAGGUGGCAACGCUCACGAGAACUGGAAUUUAAUACUUUGCUUCCGUUUCUUGUAGGGGUCUUGGUACCAGAGGAUGAGCUUGCUUGGCAAGUGUUACUAGAUCUAAAGGAAAUUGUGGAAUUAGCUGUGGCACUUGUUCAUACUGACGAGACAGUUGCCUAUCUUGAUGUGAAGUCAAGUUUGUAGUUACAAAUGUCUCCACAGUGCCGGUUGAUGUGUUGAAUAAAGAAGUUGUAUUGGCUCUCCGGCAGAAGUAUCCAGAUAUCAGUCAAGUUAAUCUUGCAAAAAGUGUCACCGCAAGAGGAAUUAACUACCACAAUGGAAUGAUAGUUGCAUGUGGUUCAACUUCUGGAAUGCCUGAAUUUGCAGAAGUUCUCCAAAUGUGCGUAAGGGGAGAUGAGCUAAGUUUUAUUGUUCGUUUAUUGUGUGCUUGGUAUCAGGACCACUUCAGAGCAUUUGAGUUGACUUCUUCACCAGGGAAAGAAGUUGCCCUGGUUCAUCUUGAGGAACUGGCAGAUUUUUAUCCACUUGUGGCCUACACAGUUGGUUCCAAACGUUUGGUAACACUAAAGAGACACAUCGUUGUCAAAGAUCAAUAAAGCAGGAUGGCAGCACCAGCUAUCUUCAGAGUCCUUUUUGGAUGUGAAGAUGAUGCACGAAAACUAACCAUUUCAUCCGGAAUGCCGACAUCUGUGGAUCACUUGGCUCUUAAAAUUAAGACUGUCUUUGGAGUAACAGAGCCAUUUAGGCUUCAAUACAAAGAUGCAGAGUUUGGAAACAAAUUUAUGAGCCUCUCAUCAAUUUCAGACAUUCAAGAUCGCAGUACUUUGAAAGUGGUAUACUUACCUUGUGAGUAUACCAGCUCUGUAAUACCACCAGCUCCACCCACUACAGAUACCUGCUCCACAAUCCCAAUGACUCACAGUAAUGCAUCUACCAGCUCCUCGCAGCAAGAACCAAAUGAUUCGGGAUCUGUUAGCUCCUGUAGCAGCAAUGAUUCCAUUCUGUUGUCAUCUCCUGAGUCCCGGUCUUGCACUUGGCCUAAGGUCUUUGUAGUGCCACGUUUUUCAUAUUGUGCUGAGAUACAGCUUCAGAAUGGAAAUGAUGAAUUCCAUGCAAAUGGAACUCUUCUAUCUCUUACCCCAAAACUCAGAUCCGAUAUACUUGAAGGCCUUGCAGAAGAAAUAAUUAAGUAUACAACGUAUCCAAAGGAUGAUCAAUUUGAAAAAGUAGCUGAGGCCUUAAUACAAACCCAUCCAUGUUUGCGUGAGAAAGGAACUCGCACUGGGUGGUGUGGAUGGAAGCACUACAUUAAAAUCAAGAUGAUGAACUUCCGGACCAAACUCGGCCGAGCUGGACACCCAGAAGUCACCGUCAACUCGCUUAAAAACAAGCAGAAAGGCCAGGGGAAGCCAGCUGCAAACAAAAAAGCCCCGGAAGGCCGAGGUUAAUUUCUGUCCAAAACAUCCAAGUGGUGAAACCACAGAGAGCCUGGAGGUAGAACGGGUUGCUCUAUUGAGUGAGAUUAAAAAAAAGAAUAACGAGACUGUGAUUAAGGAAAAGAUGCAUUGUACCUUCUCAUACCGGCGACAAGAAAUUCUUCAGGAACCAAUGAUAAUAGAGGUCCGAAAUCAAUGGCCUGCAAUGUUUCAAAUUGGAGAAGUAAACUUGGAGUUUAUGCGCAUCACUACUGUUCCUCUGAUCUCCAAAUUUAUUGGUCAGCUUGACAAGUGCUCUGAUGAUCUGGUAAAGGUUUUCCGUCACAAGGGAGGAUGUGCAGGACAAAAAAUCCGUACCAUAAUGGCACUGACAGCUCAAGUAAGUGUGUUGUUAAUGUAUUAUACAUUCCAUUGAUUACUCUUCCUUGACAGGACUUCAGAAACCCCCAUCACUCUCGUUCAAACGGAGAUAUCUGUUCCUCCAUUGACAGUCGACACAACUACCACUUAGAUUCUUCAAAAAGUUUAUAAAAAUAUUAUAGAGAAUAAACUAUUUGAAUUGAAAUGUUUAGUCCAAAUUUCUAUAGAGACUUGAUUGCUUUAUAAGAUUCAUAAAUUAAAGCAAAUUAAAUUUAAGCAAAAAUUUAAAAAGUACAUUAGUAUAUGCUUGAUGUGCAAGAACCACUGAGGCUCUUUCGUGUGUUACACAGCACAUUUGAGCGUCCUCGUGUCGUCAAAAUGGACUAAACCACUGUAAUUAGUUUUACAGUUUCUUUAUGCACACUUUGGAGUGUUAAAGUGGUAAUUGCAUGGAGUGUCAAUGGAUAGAAUUGUUUCAAAUUCCAUUUAAAAUGCCCACAUUUGUGACCCUGCCUGGAAAAACCCAUCUAAAGUAAUUUUUUUGUGAUUUACUGUUUUUGGCAUAAAAUGUAUACACUGUCCGGAGUAUACAUAAAGAAUGUUCUGUGAAAAUAUAACCUUGAUAUGUUUAAUAUCGACUGAGUAAGGUCAUGUCAUAAAUUGAAAUUAUAGUGAAAUUAAUAGGUGAAGUCAAACUUUGAUGCUCGUUACCUCAGAAUUAGAAUUUUACACUUUAGCUUGGAUUCCACAGACAGGGUGACAUUUGUGUUUCGAAGAAGAACAUUAUGAUCUCAUUUAAAAUCUCCAUUUGUUUAGAAUAAGGCCAAAAGAAUUUGGGGGGGGUUGAACAUGCUUUAAAAUUCAGCCUUACUUAAAUUAUUUUUUUAAAUUAUUUUGUUAUGCUUGUUUGAGAAUGAAGACAUAAACGUCAAGCGUGACUGUGUUCUGAGGUGUCUGAGCAUGUAUCUCAAUGAAGACUUGGAGACACUCAUCAAAGAAUACGUGGACUGUGAAAGUGAAGAGGCCGAGUCUGGGAUUGCACAGACAACAAUGGGCAUCUAUGUUAUUCGGGCCGAGGGUGCUGAUCCCGGAGAUGAGCCUGCAGACGUUGGUGUGGUUCUCGAAGGUUUGGCAGUCCUCCAAAACCUGCAGAGCAUCACACAUGGAUGUGUGAUGCUUUUGGGACUCAUUUAUGCCCUUAAUCUUAAUUACCCGAAAGACCUCAAAUGCACAUUUGAAGUAUUUCAGAAAAUUCUCAUGGAACUGGAUUCAGCCAAGCUUUCGCCAAAAGUCCAAGCGCUCAAGAUUAAAAUGCUUCAGUAACACAUAUACUCCCCAUCUAGGGUUUGACUUUUCCAUGUACCUGAGUGAACAUUGACACUUGUACAUUGCAGGACUACAUUUUCAACCUGUAAAACCUUUUGAAGUUUUUUUCUUGUGUAUUUGUAGUUUUAUUUUUAUGAAUGCCAAACAUGUAAACAUGCUUAAAAAGUGUUGCUUUUAAAGCCCCUCAGCCACUGAACUGUAUGGCACUUUUUGUGACCUCCAGAGACUCGUUUCAAAUAUUUUCAUGUCACAAAUGUGUGACUCUGUUAGUGUUAUGUAAGAAAUGUUAUUACUAAAUCGGGUGUGAUCUGAUCAUUGUUUACCUCAAGUUUUAUACUGUUUUGAAAAGCAGUUCGUAAGGACGUUUCUUGUUCUUUUUUUGCUGUUGAAUGUUCUUUCGAUACUAUUGCACUUAUCUGACAUGUUAACGUGCAUGCAAGUGUGCUGGUCCUGACCACUCAAACACUGAGACUUUUGGAUCUGUAUCUGGAUUUUUGGCAAUUUUCAAAGUUCUAAAGUUUUGAAGUUCCUGUAUGAUUAUGGAUGUUUAUGUAUGCCCAACAUGUUAACAUGCUUGCCCUAACAACGUGUCCUAACCAAUCAAGCAACUUUUUGUGACUCUAUUGUUUUACAAAUCUAUGACAUGCAUUUAAAAAAAAAAAAAAAAAAAAAAAAAAACUGUCAGUGUGAUAAAACUCUUUUAUACUGUUUUGAAAGUUCUUAAGAAAAUGAUAUAUAUAUAUAUAUAUAUAUAUAUAAUUUUUUUUUAUAAAUAUACCUUUGAUACUAUGGUGUUGCAAAACCACUCAUAAUCAGACUUUUUUCUUGACUACCACCAUUUCAUUUCAGAUGUCGUCACAGAUUUGUCAAAACGUUAGUAUAAGUAAUACUGUUGUCAUUGACUCAUAUGUAACUUGAUUUUUCUGUUUACACAAGUGUCCAAAGACAUUGAUUGUGACUACAGUGUUUAAAGUGGUGCAUUUAAGCUUGUUUUAUUUAUUUAUUUUUUCCCCUAAACAACAUAUGGGCACUGGCUAGAUUUAUUUGCUUUUUGAUCACUUUUUUUUUUUCUUUUUUCUUUUUUUUUUGUUACAUCUAAAAUGUGAAUGUCAAUAAAAAAAGUGAAACCA